ensembl:snoRNA
AUCCAGUGAUGAGACCGUGGCAUUGUCAAUGAUCUGAUCAGACUUAGAAACUGUGGUUCUUAAUCAGCUGUUUGGUGGGUAAUCUUGGCAGUGUGAUCGAGUUUUGUUACACUGCUGUAAGGGCUCACCUAUAGUCAAACUGUCACCUUCUCCCACCUCUACCACAACAUGAGGAGGUUUGUGGGAUCUGGAGAAGAUGGCAAACAUCGUGUGACUUGUUGUUUGUCUUUGUGUGUCUUGUGUGAAUGUGUAUGUAGCAGCUGGCAAAAGGCUAUAGUCUCUAAUAUGGUUUGACAGAUAUGAACGAUCUUUGGUAAUCUGAGGAUA